GAUGAACGCUGGCGGCGUGCCUAAUACAUGCAAGUCGAGCGAACGGACGAGAAGCUUGCUUCUCUGAUGUUAGCGGCGGACGGGUGAGUAACACGUGGAUAACCCACCUAUAAGACUGGGAUAACUUCGGGAAACCGGAGCUAAUACCGGAUAAUAUUUUGAACCGCAUGGUUCAAAAGUGAAAGACGGUCUUGCUGUCACUUAUAGAUGGAUCCGCGCUGCAUUAGCUAGUUGGUAAGGUAACGGCUUACCAAGGCAACGAUGCAUAGCCGACCUGAGAGGGUGAUCGGCCACACUGGAACUGAGACACGGUCCAGACUCCUACGGGGGGCAGCAGUAGGGAAUCUUCCGCAAUGGGCGAAAGCCUGACGGAGCAACGCCGCGUGAGUGAUGAAGGUCUUCGGAUCGUAAAACUCUGUUAUUAGGGAAGAACAUAUGUGUAAGUAACUGUGCACAUCUUGACGGUACCUAAUCAGAAAGCCACGGCUAACUACGUGCCAGCAGCCGCGGUAAUACGUAGGUGGCAAGCGUUAUCCGGAAUUAUUGGGCGUAAAGCGCGCGUAGGCGGUUUUUUAAGUCUGAUGUGAAAGCCCACGGCUCAACCGUGGAGGGUCAUUGGAAACUGGAAAACUUGAGUGCAGAAGAGGAAAGUGGAAUUCCAUGUGUAGCGGUGAAAUGCGCAGAGAUAUGGAGGAACACCAGUGGCGAAGGCGACUUUCUGGUCUGUAACUGACGCUGAUGUGCGAAAGCGUGGGGAUCAAACAGGAUUAGAUACCCUGGUAGUCCACGCCGUAAACGAUGAGUGCUAAGUGUUAGGGGGUUUCCGCCCCUUAGUGCUGCAGCUAACGCAUUAAGCACUCCGCCUGGGGAGUACGACCGCAAGGUUGAAACUCAAAGGAAUUGACGGGGACCCGCACAAGCGGUGGAGCAUGUGGUUUAAUUCGAAGCAACGCGAAGAACCUUACCAAAUCUUGACAUCCUUUGACAACUCUAGAGAUAGAGCUUUCCCCUUCGGGGGACAAAGUGACAGGUGGUGCAUGGUUGUCGUCAGCUCGUGUCGUGAGAUGUUGGGUUAAGUCCCGCAACGAGCGCAACCCUUAAGCUUAGUUGCCAUCAUUAAGUUGGGCACUCUAAGUUGACUGCCGGUGACAAACCGGAGGAAGGUGGGGAUGACGUCAAAUCAUCAUGCCCCUUAUGAUUUGGGCUACACACGUGCUACAAUGGACAAUACAAAGGGCAGCGAAACCGUGAGGUCAAGCAAAUCCCAUAAAGUUGUUCUCAGUUCGGAUUGUAGUCUGCAACUCGACUACAUGAAGCUGGAAUCGCUAGUAAUCGUAGAUCAGCAUGCUACGGUGAAUACGUUCCCGGGUCU
rnacentral:rRNA from 1 species